rnacentral:rRNA from 1 species
GACGAACGCUGGCGGUGUGCUUAACACAUGCAAGUCGAACGGUAAGGCCCUUUCGGGGGUACACGAGUGGCGAACGGGUGAGUAACACGUGAGUAACCUGCCCUCAUCUCUGGGAUAACAGUCGGAAACGGUUGCUAAUACUGGAUAUGAGCUUGCAAGGCAUCUUGUGGGUUGGAAAGAUUUUUUUUGGUUGGGGAUGGACUCGCGGCCUAUCAGCUUGUUGGUGAGGUAGUGGCUCACCAAGGCUUCGACGGGUAGCCGGCCUGAGAGGGCGACCGGCCACAUUGGGACUGAGAUACGGCCCAAACUUCUACGGGAGGCAGCAGUGGGGAAUAUUGCACAAUGGACGGAAGUCUGAUGCAGCAACGCCGCGUGCGGGAUGACGGCCUUCGGGUUGUAAACCGCUUUCAAUUGUGACGAAGCUUUUUUGUGACGGUAGCAGUAGAAGAAGCACCGGCUAACUACGUG